rnacentral:tRNA from 1 species
GGAAAUUUCAGGGAAAUAUGUCACCCCUCCCUUCACACGGGAGGGGUCACAGGUUCGAUCCCUGUCGCGCCCACCA